GACGAACGCUGGCGGCGUGCCUAAUACAUGCAAGUUGAGCGCUGAAGGUUGGUACUUGUACCAACUGGAUGAGCAGCGAACGGGUGAGUAACGCGUGGGGAAUCUGCCUUUGAGCGGGGGACAACAUUUGGAAACGAAUGCUAAUACCGCAUAAAAACUUUAAACACAAGUUUUAAGUUUGAAAGAUGCAAUUGCAUCACUCAAAGAUGAUCCCGCGUUGUAUUAGCUAGUUGGUGAGGUAAAGGCUCACCAAGGCGAUGAUACAUAGCCGACCUGAGAGGGUGAUCGGCCACAUUGGGACUGAGACACGGCCCAAACUCCUACGGGAGGCAGCAGUAGGGAAUCUUCGGCAAUGGACGAAAGUCUGACCAAGCAACGCCGCGUGAGUGAAGAAGGGUGUCGGAUCGUAAAACUCUGUUGGUAGAGAAGAACGUUGGUGAGAGUGGAAAGCUCAUCAAGUGACGGUAACUACACAGAAAGGGACGGCUAACUACGUG
rnacentral:rRNA from 1 species